UGUGGUUUUUGAGCCAAUGAGUGUCGGCUCUUGGUUUUCUCAGACCAAACUGAAAAAAACGUUUGUACUUAAUCUCCCUCAGUUUCACAAAACUGACACCAUAAUUCGUUUACUUUAGUAACUGAAAAAUUAAGAGCCAAUUCAGUAUUCUCCCUCCACAGAUACAACCAUUUUUUUUCCUCCAAACACUGUCUCAGAAACAGACUUGUUAACCAUUGGUAGUUACAUUCUGUUUCUACACCCUUUUUUAUAAGCCAUCAUCACCCUUCCACUGGCUUUCAUCAACAAAUUUUCUUCAAUCAAAGUACCACCACUACUUGGUUUCCCCAACCCAGUCUCCAUCUCAGAAUGGAGAAUGUGAGAAUAAGGCAGUGGUUGAACCUUCUGGUGUGUGCACUGCUGUUGCUGAUAUCAGAAGCUUCUUAUGUGCCAAUCACUAUUGUUCAGAACGCGGUAGCUAAAGGAGCUGUUUGUUUGGAUGGGAGUCCACCAGCUUACCAUUUUGAUAAGGGAUUUGGAUCAGGGAUUAACAAUUGGUUGGUUGCAUUUGAGGGAGGAGGAUGGUGCAACAAUGUCACUACUUGCCUUGCUCGCAAGACCAAUCGUCUAGGUUCAUCUAAGCAAAUGGCGAAGCAAAUUGCCUUUUCAGGAAUUUUGAACAACAGGGCAAUGUUUAAUCCAGAUUUCUACAACUGGAACAGAAUCAAGGUUAGGUAUUGUGAUGGUUCGUCAUUUACUGGUGAUGUGGAAGCAGUGAAUCCGGUAACUAAGUUGCACUUCAGAGGAGCAAGGAUUUUCAAUGCUGUCAUGGAAGAUUUACUAGCAAAAGGAAUGAAAAAUGCUCGAAAUGCUAUUAUCUCAGGAUGCUCAGCCGGAGGAUUAACAUCAGUACUGCAUUGUGAUCGAUUUCGAGCUCUAUUACCUAGAGGAGCUAGAGUGAAAUGCCUCUCAGAUGCUGGUUACUUUAUCAAUGCAAAGGAUGUUUUGGGAGAACAACACAUUGAGCAGUAUUUCAGUCAAGUUGUUGUCACACAUGGCUCUGCCAGGAGUUUGCCUCAAUCAUGCACUUCAAGACUUAGCGCAAAACUCUGCUUUUUCCCACAAUAUUUGGUGUCACGCAUUACUACACCAAUCUUCUUUGUAAACGCGGCAUACGACUCAUGGCAGAUUAAGAACAUUUUGGCACCGGGUGUUGCUGAUCCUGAAGGCCAUUGGCAUAGCUGCAAGCUUGAUAUAAACAACUGCUCACCUGAUCAACUCGAUCUAAUGCAAGGGUUCAGGACAGAAUUUUUAAGGGCUAUAACUGUGCUUGGCAACUCUUCAUCCAAAGGAAUGUUCAUAGACUCUUGCUAUGCCCACUGCCAAACUGAAAUGCAGGAGACAUGGUUGAGAAGUGACUCUCCAGAGCUGAAAAAGACAACAAUUGCAAAGGCUGUAGCAGAUUGGUUUUAUGAAAGAAGACCUUUCCAUCAGAUAGAUUGCCCUUACCCUUGCAACCCCACUUGUCACAACCGCGUUUUCGAUCCACAAGAAGACCACCCAGGAAAAAAUGUGACCGCGAAAGGAACAUCAGAUGCAUCAGCCACAAAGUCCAAUUUCCCCAAACUAACAAACAAGGUACGAUGGAUUGAACUUGUGUGCAUUAAUCGUGGAAUCAGUGGGCUUCUACUAACGUUGGUUCUUCUGGUCAUCCUAUAAAAGCUGACUUGCUUUGCUGAUUAAAUAUGACACAGCUGGACCAUCUCUCCUACUGUUUUAAUUUCCAUAACAAGAUGGAAUAAAAGCUAAUCCCAUUGAAUUGAAUCACCUUUUGACUUCAUACAGACUGCCACAAACUCCGGACAUAGCUUCAUAAUUGGAUUCAGUCAGUGUGUGAAGUUCCAUUCAUCUUGUUAUUGAAGCUGCUGAUCAGUUAACUUGGCAAUUACCAAGUAAGGCGGAAAAUUUUUUAGAAUGCCACACAUGGAAGAUCUUUCCAUGGCAUGUACUAACAUAUAUAGCACCUAGCGGAUACUUUUUUUUGUCAUCAACUAAGGGCUAUAUUCAUUUGCUCUUUCUGUAAUAAACUAAUAUUUGAUCGUUAUAGUUUUGAAGGUUCAACAUGGAAAAAAUAAAAAUAAAAUAAAAUAAGAUCAUGGCCAUUUUCAUGUCUCUUUGAGUUGCUUAA